UGGUGCGGAAACAAGUAAGUAUGCACAGCUGGCAGCUCAUGUGUUAGGAUAUUUCACAACCAAAGCCUCUAGUUGUAGCUUUGCACUUUGUUGGCAUAACCUGAGUAUUCACAUGGAGAAAUGUCUCCCUUGAACAUCUUUAAAAAUUGUCUUUUCCUUCAAGCUUAACAGACCUAAAGCAAAAAAAGUCUGGACCAAGCCCAGGAUGGCUAUUAGGCAGGAAACUCACUUAGUUGCAACUUUGUUUGAAAUUCUUCCCUGACAUUAUUACUUAAAGUGCUUGUUUCUCAAACAAACAUAUUUUAUUUUUCUUCAUUGUGUUUCCUUAGAAAUACUAGUUUAUGGUAUACAAGGCACUGAGGUAUUCCAAUCUUUUUUUUUUUUUUUUUUUUUUUUCUCAAACUUGAUAUAAUUUCUUACUCCAAGGGCAUAGUAUUUCACAACAAAUGCUCUGUGUGAGAUAGAGUAAGACAAGUUACCUUUGGUUAUUUACACAGCUGCUAACAGGGAGGUAGACAUUUAGACAUUGUCAGGAAACAGGGCCCUGGGUUGUACACCUUAAAGGAGGUGGUGAGAAUUUUUCAUAUCUUCACAAAUGUAAAAUUUCAUUCCACCAUUGGGUUCAGUGCAGUUACCUCAACUGAGGAAUCUUGCUUCUAUCAAGUCAGUAUUCAGUAAUUACUAAGAAUACAACAUAAAUUAUUUUGAGAUGUAGGAAUGUAAAUUAAAUUACGGUAUUACACAUUGAAAUAAUCUUUGUUUGUUUGAAGUCAUUUUAUACAAUCUCCCUUUUCCUUAUGAAGUGAAAUUCUUCCAAUGUCCACUUUCUGAAAGGGAAUGUUAACAAGACCGGACCCCGCAUUUUACAAGUACAUUAGCAGGGACAUUUACUAGAAUAAUCUAGGAACUCAUUCAGCAACACACUCGAACAGUAAAGGUGAAUGUUUUGAAUUAAAAUUCCCAGUUCUGGAUCUAAUUUCAUUUUAACGAGACAACUGGAAAAUGUUGGAUUCCAUUUGCUAAUUAGAACCAUUAUUUUAAAUUUGUUGUAAGAGGCAUAUAUUUGUUAUACUUUUAUAACAGUAAAUUGCUAUUGCCUUACUAAUCCUUUCAUUAAUCUUAAAUGAAGUCCAUGUUUGGGAACUUUGACUUAAAUCAAUUUCCUGGCCCCAGGAAAACUUGUAACAUAUACGUGUACAAACAUACACAUAUACAAAGUUGUAAGGUUAAAAAAUAUAUAUGUACAUGCACAUAUUUUUGCAUAUAUAUACAUACAUAUGUAAACUUGCAUAUCUGCUUUUAUCUUUCUUUUAAAUGUAAUUCAUUAAUAGGAAACAUCACAUGGCAUUAAUAACAAUCCUUGCUUAUUUGGGAAUUAUAAAUCAAAACUGAUAUACAUGUGGUGUUAAACAGAAGAACAGAAGCACAGUUGUCCUGGGAUAAAUUUGGCAUCAAAAUGUGUAUCAAUGUGUUAGAUUCUAAGUAAUUUUUCUUGUUUGUAACAACAUUUCUUAAAUGAAGAAGCCUUAAAAAAAAUGAAUGGUAAUGAGAGAACUUUGGGUUUUGAUCCAUCAUGGAAUUUUACAAAGAACUGGCUUUCCACUAAACAUCCAGGCUAUAUUUCAUCAUUUAUGAUCAAAGAAGACCACUGGUCACAGAGUGGGGUAAGACACAACAGGUAAACUAAUAAAAUGUAAUUGUUUUCUCAUGCAAAAAAUGUUGACCAAUUCAAACACUGCAUUUAAACUACUGAAUACUUGCCUGUUAAACUCCCAAGAAAAUGCCGAAAAUUCAAAGCACAAUCAGAGAAUUAAAAUGUACAGAAUUAAAACUGAUUGUGCUGCUCAUGCAAAGACAGUCAUUCUGUACUAAGUGACUGACUCCUCCUUUUUAGCAGAUUUGUUUGCAUAAAUAAUGCAGCAUCAGACAGCAUUUUUUAAAAUGUAAAUAAGUAAACUUCCUUUUAAGAGUUAAUACGAUAGCAAAAAGAUACAGUCACCAGAUUCAUGAGGGCCAUAAAGGGUGAUUAAUUCUUUAUCACCGUCCACAGGAUUGAAUCCAGCCCAGAAGCUGCAGGAGCCUUUGCUGCUGUGAUUCUGUUUUAGCUUGUCACUUCUUUCACAGAAUAGACAUUCCAUUUCUGUCUCCAAGACAAAAUAUUCUGCCUGAAAAUCUGUAUAAUAUAUCCAAUGUGACAACAGGCAUGAUAAUGAUGCAUGAACGUCUUCCCUGCUUUUAGAUAAUCCACAGAAGGAAUCCCGGUAAAUUGCUAGGGGUACAAAGGAGAGGAAUGGGGUAGGGAGGGAGAAUGUCUUGGUUAAUAAAUUGAUUUAAUGUGAAAUAGAUCUCACAGUGAAGAAGCCAGAAUUUACACAUGUGGAAGCUUUAUCAGUUGUUCUUCUACUCUUUCUCUGUUUUAAAUUUUGAUUUCCUGUCCAAACUAGACAGCAAAAAACAAAAAUUUAUAAAUACCAUCAAUGUGCAAAACUCAUAACCGUUUAUAUGAGAAAAUUUCUGUUUUCUUAAGUUCUUUCAGAAAACUGUUUUCUAUGCCUUGCUUAAGGCAUAUCAUCCUCAUAAAAUUAACAGCCAGAGAUUCAUAUUUCAGGACAGAAGUAAUUAAUUCCUUUCUAAUUAGAUAAAACUUGCCCCAAAUCUUUAAAAUUCCUUUCACAAUUUUACAUCAGUAGAGGAUCUAUCUAUGAACUCCUUUAAUUUGGAAGGUUUUACAGUGUUCUAAAAAGCAGCAUAAAAUGGGAAAUAUUAAAAGGAGAGGUUGUGCCUGAGUGGAUCUUGAGACAUGAACAUCUCAGAAUAAUUUCAUAUGAGAAGCAAUACUUUCCAUUUAAUGAAGACUCCCGAGUACCUAGCAAGCCUCAAUCUGCUGCUUACUUCAUCUCACAGACCUAACCUGUCCUUCAGCAGGGUUUGAUGAAGAAAGGAAGCAGCGUGCAGGAACGUUCCAGUUCUAGCACUUAGAGCAGAACAAAUGAUAGCUUAACAAAAAGGAUGCUGACAUACCUGGGUUGAUAAGGCUUGUCUGGACAGACACUUUCACAGCAGCAUUGUCUGCUCCAGGGGCAGCCAAAGUUCCUAAUUAAAAGAUUUAUUCCAACAUUUGCCUCUAGGAAGCACAUACAGCCAAGGAGGUAAGUCCGCAAAGAGAGAGAAGGCAGCAAAAAUGUCUAAAGGCAAUGGUCACAAAGGCAGAAGACCCAAACAAGAAGAUUCUUGAAAGUUUAAGAACAAAUAAAAAAUCCAAAUGACAGAGAGAGUGUGACUGACGAUAUCAAACUAAGCAGUUACAUCAUGAAAGAUAAGCAAGAAGAAACCUUCCAUCUUUACGAAAGAUAUCCAAGUGUCACUUGCUCAUUACAGCAUGAUUAAAGCAGUUUCAGUUGGACUGAAGAAGGGAGAAUGGAAACACAACAAGGGAAUCAAGGGGAUUUGUGAAACCAGAAGAGUUGUGGCAUGGUUAGGAGAGGAGGACUAAAACACAAACCCAAUACAGCAUGAAAUAGGAACGACUGGAUCUAGCAAAGGCAGGGCAAUUCCAGUACAUCAGCUUCUUUUAGCAAAACCUCUGACUGUGAAGUUUAGAAGCAGUAGGCCUGGAUUUGGGGAUGUAUCAAAGGUGAAAAGAGUCAGCCAGAAGCAUGGGUGAGAAAUUCAGUUACAGCCAGAGAAAUACAAACCUUCUGGCAAGGAAGAUACCAAAAUGAGAAAUGAGGCCCAGCAAGUACACAGAAGUUAGUGGAACGUUUUAAACUUCAACUGAUAAGACAAUUGUUUUAAUCAGAAAACAAAAUAGAUCUUAGCGUCUGUGUUUUCCCAGCUGCAAGCAUGUGUGCCUGGAAGUUUUAUUGUUUGAACUGCAUGGUGGAGAACUGGCCAUUUGUUCUUCUCCGUCUCUGAAUUGUUGACAGCUCAGUUAAAAUGUGGCUCCCUUGCAGGAUGUUGUCAUCAAUCUGUCUUAACAUAACAGCAAUCCUGUUGAUGUCCAAUUCCUGCUGAAAAUGCUACAUCUUUAAUCAAAUAAUGUGUUAUACACUGUUUGAAAAUUCACCAAACUCGUGGCCGUGGUCAAGGACAAGAAUACGUAGCACUUUACAGCUUCAAAGGAUUACACAAACUCAAGCAUGUUAUUUUCAAACCCAGUAUCCUGUCCCAAAUAAUUGACUUUAACAAGACUUUAAAGUCAUUGCUUAUUUAGAACAGCUUUAGGUUUUGAAGAACUGCAUUUCCUGUCAGCAGUACUUAACUGUUUAUGAAUUCCUGAGGAAGUUAGUGACCCAAAGAGGAAAUUCCUACUUUUCUAAGGUAAGUUAGAGAUACAAAGAUGAGAACAGAAAAAGACUAACGUGCAGUACAAGAUGGUACUCUGUUAUACAACAACAAAAACAAAACAAAACAAAAAGUUUAUUUUUGUGGUAGUUCUCAAAAGCCUUAUUCAACAACAACUUGAUUUCUUGGAAGAUAUAGCAGAAACAAAUUGAAAGAUGUAAAUUGCAAGAAGCACACAACCAUGUUAGCAGUGAGAUUAAACAACUACACAGAGUGUAAGAA